rnacentral:rRNA from 1 species
GAUGAACGCUGGCGGCGUGCCUAAUACAUGCAAGUCGAGCGAACAGACGAGGAGCUUGCUCCUCUGACGUUAGCGGCGGACGGGUGAGUAACACGUGGAUAACCUACCUAUAAGACUGGGAUAACUUCGGGAAACCGGAGCUAAUACCGGAUAAUAUAUUGAACCGCAUGGUUCAAUAGUGAAAGACGGUUUUGCUGUCACUUAUAGAUGGAUCCGCGCCGCAUUAGCUAGUUGGUAAGGUAACGGCUUACCAAGGCGACGAUGCGUAGCCGACCUGAGAGGGUGAUCGGCCACCCUGGAACUGAGACACGGUCCAGACUCCUACGGGAGGCAGCAGUCGGGAAUCUUCCGCAAUGGGCGAAAGCCUGACGGAGCAACGCCGCGUGAGUGAUGAAGGUCUUCGGAUCGUAAAACUCUGUUAUUAGGGAAGAACAAAUGUGUAAGUAACUAUGCACGUCUUGACGGUACCUAAUCAGAAAGCCACGGCUAACUACGUG